rnacentral:misc_RNA from 1 species
CUGGAAUUGAGUUCUUGUUGAGCAUGAGAAUCGAGAAUUAUUUAUCCCAACUUCAAGAAAACAGGAUGGAGCCAUAAUUGACGAAGUGGGACCCUAUUAACAUGAGAAUGGUUCCUACGGGAUUUGCAGAUGCUUAGAACAAUUAGAUUACAAAAUGUAUAUAAAGACUCGUAAUUUUACACCAAGCGCAGAAACUGUUGUAAUUUGCAAAUAAAAUUCUAUAGCCGCAGAAGUCUGUCCAUACCAGUAAAUUAGCGGUCUUGGAAGUGGCAGCCGGAAUACUUCACUUCAACACAUUGUAUAGAUAAGCAGCGAUGCCCAAAAUUAUACAGAGGAGGAUGAUGUCAAUGCAAAAGUUGCGACUGGAUCUCAGCUGGUUGACAGUAUCCUUAAGUCUCACAUUAGUACUUUUCAGGUCUGAGGUUGCCCUGUCCAUCUUUUCAUCUAUUUCAUCCAUCAGUGGCGCUUGCCUGUCCAACUCCUCAUUCAUGUCAUGG